UGCGUAGGUGGUGAGGUAAGUCGGAUGUGAAAUCUCCGGGCUCAACCCGGAAAUGGCAUUGGAAACUACCUUGCUGGAGGAUUUGAGGGGGGAUUGGAAUACUUGGUGUAGCAGUGAAAUGCGUAGAUAUCAAGUGGAACACCAGUGGCGAAGGCGAAUCCCUGGAAAAUACCUGACACUGAGGCACGAAAGCUAGGGGAGGCAAACA
rnacentral:rRNA from 1 species